AGUAGUCUAAUGUGUCACUAAAUGAGGAUUCGAUUGCAAAAGGUCUGCAAAGCAAACUCGGUUUAAAGUGCUCGGGGUCUGUAUAAUGACUGACCUCAGUGGAAAAUAUUGCAAGUUCCCUGAUAGUGCGCUAUCACGCAACGUAAACGUGAGGGACAUCAAUGAUAUGGGAAAGAUUUUUCUGUAUGACCAUACCUUAACCUCGUGAGAAAUGACUGUUUCACGCAUCAUAGCCCUAGAAAUUUCCUCAUACGGAAGUGAACAUCAAAAUCAACCGUUGACUUUUGGAUGCUGCACUGUUAUAGGGAUGACGUAAUUAAAGGGGAAAUCCCAUCAAAUAGCCUGUAUAUUGUGAGUGCCACGUAAACCCAAGUGCAGAAGUGACUGGUGGCUGAAAAGGUAAGUCGUUUGUAUAGAAAGGGAAACAGGUCACGAAACCAAUUUUACAAACAUAUCCACCAUGUCCAAAUUUCAGUCAAAAAUUUAAUAAGAAACUUGUUAUUCUCGGUACCAAAUGGUUUUGGCUGCCGAAUUAUUUUAGACAAGGAGUUGGGUUCGCCGAUUUUGAAUUUCUGUCGUUAAUGUCAUAGUUAGAUUAUAGAAGGGUCUGAGCUAUCGACGAAAAUUUGAUUCUCUACCUAGAACUGGACUUUGAAAUUUUUCGGUAAUCUUCACAGUUUAAGUCUCUGACUCUUUUGGUGAAUGUUUUCAAAAUGUAUUUUGGUGACGAGAGUGUUCUGCUGCAAGAUUUGUGGCCAUCAGAAAAUUCGCUUCGUCAUCGAUAUUUCUAGCAAAGAUUUCGCCGAUUUCAGUUUUCGAUCUAAAUCCUUAAACUUCAGCAGUCUCUAUUUUCCAGUGGCCUCUUCUUGUCUUUUGAUUUCGUUUUCAGGAACCUUAGUGAAGAGCUAACAUCAGAAAGUCUCGAAGCUGACGAUCAGGGUAACGUCACGCUCUUCAAAGUUUGUAUCUG